rnacentral:lncRNA from 1 species
CGAACAGGAUUCUCUAUUGAUUGUCGCUACCUUAGUUCCACUCUCUGUUUCAUCUAUAGGGCUGUUUAUAGCCCCAAAACCUAGACUGUAUCAAAAUUAGACUCUAGAUCGGACUCCAGAAGCGUCUGAACCAUCCGAUCCAUGCCGCAAGCCUUUUCAGCCGCUUGAUUGCACCCGAUCAAGCUUUCCAGAUCAUCACCAGCUUCCUCAGCUGUUAGAUCAAGAUCGAGAAUCAUCCAAAACCAUCGGAUCAUGUUGUCGAAAUACAAAAUUUUUUAUGGACCACGAGAAACAUCCCAAGAAACCACUUCGAUCCAUGUGGACUGCGCGAAACACCCCUGGAAAUGAACGUCGGUCCACGCCUCAUGCAUGGACCGUGUGAAGGGCACUGGGCUGUGCCCGCACAUCUGUUGGGCCUGCCCGUGUGCA